AGUAGAAUAUUAAAGAAAAUAAAAGAAGCUUCUAACUUCUUAUUAAGCGGUUAAAUUCCGUUUAUAUUC
rnacentral:tRNA from 1 species